GCCAGUGUGGUGUAGUGGUUUGUGUACUGGACUGUGAUUCUGGAAACCAGGGUUCAAAUCCCUAUUUAGCCA